GAAAGGGCGGAGUAUCUACUGCCUGGAUGUAUUGAGAAAUGAAACACCACUACUCAAUACUCCCAAUUAAA
rnacentral:ncRNA from 1 species